rnacentral:tRNA from 1 species
GGGGCUGUAGCUCAGUGGUAGAGCACCUGCCUUGCACGUGUGAGGCACUGGGUUCAAUCCUCAGCACCA